rnacentral:rRNA from 1 species
UACGGAGGGUGCAAGCGUUUGUCCGGAUUUAUUGGGUUUAAAGGGUGCGUAGGCGGUCUUUUAAGUCAGUGCUGAAAUAUCCCGGCUUAACCGGGAGGGUGGCAUUGAUACUGAAGGACUUGAGUUCAGUCGAGGUAGGCGGAAUUGACGGUGUAGCGGUGAAAUGCUUAGAUAUCGUCAAGAACACCGAUAGUGUAGACAGCUUACUAGGCUGAAACUGACGCUGAGGCACGAAAGUGUGGGGAUCAAAACAGG